AUUGAACGCUGGCGGCAUGCCUUACACAUGCAAGUCGAACGGCAGCACGGGUGCUUGCACCUGGUGGCGAGUGGCGAACGGGUGAGUAAUACAUCGGAACAUGUCCUGUAGUGGGGGAUAGCCCGGCGAAAGCCGGAUUAAUACCGCAUACGAUCUACGGAUGAAAGCGGGGGACCUUCGGGCCUCGCGCUAUAGGGUUGGCCGAUAGCUGAUUAGCUAGUUGGCGGGGUAAAGGCCUACCAAGGCGACGAUCAGUAGCUGGUCUGAGAGGACGACCAGCCACACUGGGACUGAGACACGGCCCAGACUCCUACGGGAGGCAGCAGUGGGGAAUUUUGGACAAUGGGCGAAAGCCUGAUCCAGCAAUGCCGCGUGUGUGAAGAAGGCCUUCGGGUUGUAAAGCACUUUUGUCCGGAAAGAAAUCCUUGGCUCUAAUACAGUCGGGGGAUGACGGUACCGGAAGAAUAAGCACCGGCUAACUACGUG
rnacentral:rRNA from 1 species